GAUGAACGCUGGCGGCGUGCCUAAUACAUGCAAGUCGAGCGAACGGACGAGAAGCUUGCUUCUCUGAUGUUAGCGGCGGACGGGUGAGUAACACGUGGAUAACCUACCUAUAAGACUGGGAUAACUUCGGGAAACCGUAGCUAAUACCGGAUAAUAUUUUGAACCGCAUGGUUCAAAAGUGAAAGACGGUCUUGCUGUCACUUAUAGAUGGAUCCGCGCUGCAUUAGCUAGUUGGUAAGGUAACGGCUUACCAAGGCAACGAUGCAUAGCCGACCUGAUAGGGUGAUCGGCCACACUGGAACUGAGACACGGUCCAGACUCCUACGGGAGGCAGCAGUAGGGAAUCUUCCGCAAUGGGCGAAAGCCUGACGGAGCAACGCCGCGUGAGUGAUGAAGGUCUUCGGAUCGUAAAACUCUGUUAUUAGGGAAGAACAUAUGUGUAAGUAACUGUGCACAUCUUGACGGUACCUAAUCAGAAAGCCACGGCUAACUACGUG
rnacentral:rRNA from 1 species